rnacentral:lncRNA from 1 species
GGCGUAGGAAACGUGGUUUCACUUUCAAUCGAAGUAUUAUAUACAACAUAGGUGUUCAUUUUCAAUGACUUUUUUUGAAUGAGGACGCCAAAAGCACUUAUGAGGAGACAAAUAACCUAAUACAAUAGAGUAACUCGAAAUUCUAUCAAUUCGAUCAAAGUUGAUCCUAUCUUACCUUAAGUAGUGGUAGCGUCAGUCUUUGCACUCGUUCCAAAUAUCUCACAAAAAAAUCUUCCAAAACAACACUUUUCAAAUGGUGCCAACUGGCGUUCUCUAAAACUUAUUACUGGCCCUCAUAACUAAUCAAAAUCGUGUCACACGUUUUUAUAAACAUAUGCUAUACUGCUUCCACAGACUAUAUUAUUUCAUUGGUAGUUCAAUCAAGAUAUACGGAUGAAAAACUGAAUCUAAUAAUUGUUUUGCAAGUUCCGUCUAUGUGCAUGUUGUGUUUCGAUCUGUGCGUACGUUUCUUCGUCCGUCCGUUCGUUCGUUAUUCCCGCUUCAGGUUAAAGUUUAUUGUCAAGGUAGUUUUUGCUUAAGUUGAAGUCCAAUCAAUUUGAAACUUAGUACAUGUUCCUUAUAUAUGAUAUGACAUUUCUAAUUUUAAUGCCAAAUUAGAG